rnacentral:rRNA from 1 species
UGGGGAAUUUUGGACAAUGGGGGAAACCCUGAUCCAGCCAUCCCGCGUGUGCGAUGAAGGCCUUCGGGUUGUAAAGCACUUUUGGCAGGAAAGAAACAUCAUGGGUUAAUACCCCGUGAAACUGACGGUACCUGCAGAAUAAGCACCGGCUAACUACGUGCCAGCAGCCGCGGUAAUACGUAGGGUGCAAGCGUUAAUCGGAAUUACUGGGCGUAAAGCGUGCGCAGGCGGUUCGGAAAGAAAGAUGUGAAAUCCCAGAGCUCAACUUUGGAACUGCAUUUUUAACUACCGGGCUAGAGUGUGUCAGAGGGAGGUGGAAUUCCGCGUGUAGCAGUGAAAUGCGUAGAUAUGCGGAGGAACACCGAUGGCGAAGGCAGCCUCCUGGGAUAACACUGACGCUCAUGCACGAAAGCGUGGGGAGCAAACAGG